UAUCGGCAAACGGUGGUUGUGGUAUCGC
rnacentral:piRNA from 1 species